UGGGGAAUUUUCCGCAAUGGGGGAAAGCCUGACGGAGCAAUCUCGCGUGAGGGAUGACGGCCUAUGGGUUGUAAACCUCUUUUUUCAGGGAGGAACAAAAUGACGUGUACCUGAAGAAUAAGCAUCGGCUAACUCCGUGCCAGCAGCCGCGGUAAGACGGAGGAUGCAAGUGUUAUCCGGAAUCACUGGGCGUAAAGCGUCUGUAGGUGGUUUGAUAAGUCAACUGUUAAAUCUUGAAGCUCAACUUCAAAAUCGCAGUCGAAACUAUUAGACUAGAGUAUAGUAGGGGUAAAGGGAAUUUCCAGUGGAGCGGUGAAAUGCGUAGAUAUUGGAAAGAACACCGAUGGCGAAGGCACUUUACUGGGCUAUUACUGACACUCAGAGA
rnacentral:rRNA from 1 species